rnacentral:rRNA from 1 species
CUAUACAUGCAGUCGAGCGAACAGAAGGGAGCUUGCUCCCGGAUGUUAGCGGCGGACGGGUGAGUAACACGUGGGUAACCUGCCUGUAAGACUGGGAUAACUCCGGGAAACCGGAGCUAAUACCGGAUAGUUCCUUGAACCGCAUGGUUCAAGGAUGAAAGACGGUUUCGGCUGUCACUUACAGAUGGACCCGCGGCGCAUUAGCUAGUUGGUGGGGUAAUGGCUCACCAAGGCGACGAUGCGUAGCCGACCUGAGAGGGUGAUCGGCCACACUGGGACUGAGACACGGCCCAGACUCCUACGGGAGGCAGCAGUAGGGAAUCUUCCGCAAUGGACGAAAGUCUGACGGAGCAACGCCGCGUGAGUGAUGAAGGUUUUCGGAUCGUAAAGCUCUGUUGUUAGGGAAGAACAAGUGCGAGAGUAACUGCUCGCACCUUGACGGUACCUAACCAGAAAGCCACGGCUAACUACGUGCCAGCAGCCGCGGUAAUACGUAGGUGGCAAGCGUUGUCCGGAAUUAUUGGGCGUAAAGGGCUCGCAGGCGGUUUCUUAAGUCUGAUGUGAAAGCCCCCGGCUCAACCGGGGAGGGUCAUUGGAAACUGGGAAACUUGAGUGCAGAAGAGGAGAGUGGAAUUCCACGUGUAGCGGUGAAAUGCGUAGAGAUGUGGAGGAACACCAGUGGCGAAGGCGACUCUCUGGUCUGUAACUGACGCUGAGGAGCGAAAGCGUGGGGAGCGAACAGGAUUAGAUACCCUGGUAGUCCACGCCGUAAACGAUGAGUGCUAAGUGUUAGGGGGUUUCCGCCCCUUAGUGCUGCAGCUAACGCAUUAAGCACUCCGCCUGGGGAGUACGGUCGCAAGACUGAAACUCAAAGGAAUUGACGGGGGCCCGCACAAGCGGUGGAGCAUGUGGUUUAAUUCGAAGCAACGCGAAGAACCUUACCAGGUCUUGACAUCCUCUGACAACCCUAGAGAUAGGGCUUUCCCUUCGGGGACAGAGUGACAGGUGGUGCAUGGUUGUCGUCAGCUCCUGUCCUGAAAAUGUUUGGGUUAAGUCCCGCAACGAGCGCAACCCUUGAUCUUAGUUGCCAGCAUUUAGUUGGGCACUCUAAGGUGACUGCCGGUGACAAACCGGAGGAAAGGUGGGGGAUGACGUCAAAUCAUCAUGCCCCUUAUGACCUGGGCUAACACCGUGCUACAAUGGACAGAAACAAAGGGCUUGCAGAACCGNAAGGUU